rnacentral:rRNA from 1 species
UUACGGGUGGCAGCAGUGGGGAAUAUUGGACAAUGGGCGAAAGCCUGAUCCAGCCAUGCCGCGUGUGUGAAGAAGGCCUUCGGGUUGUAAAGCACUUUCAGUGGGGAAGAAAGCCUUGGGGCUAAUACCCUCGAGGAAGGACAUCACCCACAGAAGAAGCACCGGCUAACUCCGUGCCAGCAGCCGCGGUAAUACGGAGGGUGCGAGCGUUAAUCGGAAUUACUGGGCGUAAAGCGCGCGUAGGCGGUCUGAUAAGCCGGUUGUGAAAGCCCCGGGCUCAACCUGGGAACGGCAUCCGGAACUGUCAGGCUAGAGUGCAGGAGAGGAAGGUAGAAUUCCCGGUGUAGCGGUGAAAUGCGUAGAGAUCGGGAGGAAUACCAGUGGCGAAGGCGGCCUUCUGGACUGACACUGACGCUGAGGUGCGAAAGCGUGGGUAGCAAACAGGAUUAGAUACCCGAGUAGUC